GGAGAUGGCGGAGCUGUACGUGAAGCCGGGUGAGCGCAGCCGGCGGGCUAGGGCACUAGGUCGUCGCCCCGGCCUAGGCUGGGGGCGGUUGCGGCGUGGAGUAUGGACCCUCUGUCUCCCCCAGCCCCAGUAUAAGCUAACAGUGGAGUUCCGGGCUCGCUUCACACAUCCCUCGCCUCCGCAGGCAACAAGGAGCGCGGCUGGAACGACCCGCCGCAGUUCUCAUACGGGCUGCAGACCCAGGCCGGCGGACCCAGGCGCUCGCUGCUUACCAAGAGGGUCGCCGCACCCCAGGAUGGAUCCCCCAGAGUCCCCGCAUCAGAGACUUCUCCUGGGCCUCCCCCAAUGGGGCCUCCACCUCCUUCAAGUAAGGCUCCCAGGUCCCCACCUGUGGGGAGUGGUCCUGCCUCUGGCGUGGAGCCCACAAGUUUCCCAGUCGAGUCUGAGGCUGUGAUGGAGGAUGUGCUGAGACCUUUGGAACAGGCAUUGGAAGACUGCCGUGGCCACACAAGGAAGCAGGUAUGUGAUGACAUCAGCCGACGCCUGGCACUGCUGCAGGAACAGUGGGCUGGAGGAAAGUUGUCAAUACCUGUAAAGAAGAGAAUGGCUCUACUGGUGCAAGAGCUUUCAAGCCACCGGUGGGACGCAGCAGAUGACAUCCAUCGCUCCCUCAUGGUUGACCAUGUGACUGAGGUCAGUCAGUGGAUGGUAGGAGUUAAAAGAUUAAUUGCAGAAAAGAGGAGUCUGUUUUCAGAGGAGGCAGCCAAUGAAGAGAAAUCUGCAGCCACAGCUGAGAAGAACCAUACCAUACCAGGCUUCCAGCAGGCUCCAUAAUCCUCGGUUCCCCAGACUCACCGGACACCAUCUCCUAUGCCUUGGAGACCUUCUCUCACUUGGCUCCCUUCUUACCACCACCAAGACUGUCCCACUGGGCCUGACCCACCUAUGAGGGAAGAAGUCCCACCUGGGCCAGAGGGAGUUCAUGUGUUACUCAUAACCUGCAUUUCAAUAAAAACAUCUCUGCAGUGGGCCUUGGGUAGGAGAGAUGAACCCUUCCGGUGCCAAGCUAGUCCCCUCUGGUGUCCUCGACUGCCCUGCUCCCUGUGUAUCUGCAAACCUCUGUUCUCCCUUCUCCAUUCAUCAGGAAGGGAUCUGCUGGGUAUAGUCAGACUACUGCCUACCACUUUUUCCCAAAUUAGACUGAAAGCACAUCCUGUGCUGGGCGGAGCAGCUGUGUUUGGAUGGUUUCAUUUCAGCAUGAGAACAGACUCAAAUAGAACGGGGAGACUUUUCCCUCAACAAAAGGAAAGACAGUCCUAUUUGCACUGUGUCACCCUUGAGAUACCACUGUUGCAGAGAUUAGAACCACAUUGAGUGGGGUUUUCUGUGUAAAUCGAAGGAGAAAAAGACCAGAUUACUGAGAUUGGGGAUUGUAACUCUGACUUGCCAAACAAGCUGCUGCCUCA
rnacentral:sRNA from 1 species